CUACGGGUCGCAGCAGUGAGGAAUAUUGCACAAUGGGGGGAACCCUGAUGCAGCAACGCCGCGUGGAGGAUGACGCAUUUCGGUGUGUAAACUCCUUUUAUAUGUCAAGAAAAUGACGGUAGCAUAUGAAUAAGCACCGGCUAACUCCGUGCCAGCAGCCGCGGUAAUACGGAGGGUGCAAGCGUUACUCGGAAUCACUGGGCGUAAAGGACGCGUAGGCGGGCUUGUAAGUCAGGUGUGAAAUCCUACAGCUUAACUGUAGAACUGCACUUGAAACUACGAGCCUAGAGUAUGGGAGGGGGAGAUGGAAUUAGUGGUGUAGGGGUAAAAUCCGUAGAUAUCACUAGGAAUACCUAAAGCGAAGGCGACCUCCUGGAACAUAACUGACGCUAAGGCGUGAAAGCGUGGGGAGCAAACAGGAUUAGAUACCCCCGUAGUC
rnacentral:rRNA from 1 species